GUCUACCAUCAUGCCACCCUGAACAAGCCUGCCUAUCUGAUCUCGGAAGCUAAGCAAGGUCGGACCUGGUUAGUACUUGGAUGGGAGACCACCUAGGAAGACCAGGUGCUGUAGGCA
rnacentral:rRNA from 1 species